AAAGAUCCGCCUAGAGGGCGCAACGAGAGCUCACCCAUGAGUCCGGUCCCGUUCUUCUAGGUGCUAUAGUUUCAGUAAACCGCUGUAACGUCCGUAAGAGUGCUCUAACCUCACUCGAACUUCCAUAACGUCCGUAAUAUCGCCGUAACUACAUAACGUCCGUAAAAGUGCCGUAACAUCACUCGAACAUCCAUAACGUCUGUCUUACGUCCGUAAGAGUGCCGUAACCUCACUCGAACAUCCGAAACGUCUGUCGAACAUCCGUAACGUCCGUAACAUCGCCGUAACGUCUGUCACAGCUCCGUGACAUCACAGAUGAUCGAAAUAACGCCGUAACGUCUGUCACACGUCCGUGACGUCACAGAUGAUGGAAACAACGCCGUAACGUCCGUAACAACGCCGUAACGUCUGUCACAGGUCCGUGACGUCAUAGAUGAUCGAAACAACGCUGUAACGUCUCUCAGAGAUCUGUGACGUCACAGAUGAUAGAAAAACAACGCCGUAACUCCUGUCACAGGUCCGUGACGUCACAGAUGAUCGAAACAAGGCCGUAACUUCUGUCAUAGGUCCGUGACGUCAUAGAUGAUCGAAACAACGCUGUAACGUCUCUCAGAGAUCUGUGACGUCACAGAUGAUAGAAAAACAACGCCGUAACUCCUGUCACAGGUCCGUGACGUCACAGAUGAUCGAAACAAGGCCG